rnacentral:rRNA from 1 species
UUGAGUUUGAAUCCCUGGCUCAGAUUGAACGCUGGCGGCAGGCCUAACACAUGCAAGUCGAGCGGAUGAGGAAGAGCUUGCUCUUCGAUUCAGCGGCGGACGGGUGAGUAAUGCCUAGGAACUGCCUGGUAGUGGGGGGACAACGUUUCGAAAGGAACGCUAAUACCGCAUACGUCCUACGGGAGAAAGCAGGGGACCUUCGGGCCUUGCGCUAUCAGAUGAGCCUAGGUCGGAUUAGCUAGUUGGUGAGGUAAUGGCUCACCAAAGGCGACGAUCCGUAACUGGUCUGAGAGGAUGAUCAGUCACACUGGAACUGAGACACGGUCCAGACUCCUACGGGAGGCAGCAGUGGGGAAUAUUGGACAAUGGGCGAAAGCCUGAUCCAGCCAUGCCGCGUGUGUGAAGAAGGUCUUCGGAUUGUAAAGCACUUUAAGUUGGGAGGAAGGGCAUUAACCUAAUACGUUAGUGUUUUGACGUUACCGACAGAAUAAGCACCGGCUAACUCUGUGCCAGCAGCCGCGGUAAUACAGAGGGUGCAAGCGUUAAUCGGAAUUACUGGGCGUAAAGCGCGCGUAGGUGGUUUGUUAAGUUGAAUGUGAAAUCCCCGGGCUCAACCUGGGAACUGCAUCCAAAACUGGCAAGCUAGAGUAUGGUAGAGGGUGGUGGAAUUUCCUGUGUAGCGGUGAAAUGCGUAGAUAUAGGAAGGAACACCAGUGGCGAAGGCGACCACCUGGACUGAUACUGACACUGAGGUGCGAAAGCGUGGGGAGCCAAACAGGAUUAGAUACCCUGGUAAGUCCUAACGGGCCCCGU